CACAGAAUGUCCACAUACAAAUCACGAUUGUCAUAAAGCUGUGACACUUUGGAGUUGCUGGUAUCAGGACUGGCGAGGAUCUGUGGUGUUGCUUUCCAAACACAGGAUUUACUGUACUGAAUCAGAUCCUUCAACAUCUGUCCUGCACCUGGAUGUUAGCUAAUGGAGACAACAGAUAGAAAAAGCAGGUUAUGCAUUAAUAAACAAAGAAGCCAAGCACAUUAUAGAACAUGUCCAGUAUACAAGAAAAACAAAUAUGGAUAUAUGUAGUGAGGAGGCAUGGCCACCCUCAGAGGCUGACGCAGAGGGAACACCGCAAGCCUCCUGGUGAGCAGAACCGGAAGCAGAGGGGCAGGACAGGAAGGAGAAGUAUAAAAGGCCGGCCCAGCAGCUCAGUUGGAGGAGAGCAGCUGAGGGAGACAUAUGCUUCUUCCCCACUGUUGGAGCAGGAUGCUGAGGAGAACUAUGGCUGCCCAGAGGAUCUGCCUCAGCUUCCAAAGGGCCCUGCCACUCCCGACGCUGAGGAGCUGCUACCAUUACCCUUGGCAGUGUAUCCCAGAGAGACUGAGGAUGACCCCUGGA